rnacentral:misc_RNA from 1 species
AAGUUGGUGAAUCUGAGUGAAGUCCUGUGGAAUGAACAGCUUGUUUCAUGCAUGUUCAACUGCAAUAUUAACAAGGACUAGCCAUCUUGUUGUGAAGAGUUCAAUCUGUGGAUUUCCAUCUCUUUCAUGGAAGACAAGCUUUGGUCAUGCUAGAAUUGGGAAAGUUGAUUCCAACUUGUAUUUGAAUAGAGUUUCUGUUCGUUGCUUUUCGUCCAAAAAACAUAGUGGAGAUAGUUCUCCAUCGCAGAAUUCUGAGUUCACUACAGAAAUGAAAGAAGAGAGAGAUGGUUUCUUUGUUGUUAGGAAAGGAGAUCUGGUUGGAG